CAUAAUCGAACGGCUUUAAUACACUUAUUCACAGAAAGAAAGAAAAAAAAAUGUGUUUCUAUGUCGAAAUAUUCUUGGAAAACAUUACUCUUAUCAAAUGGUGAAUCGAGAUGUAAUUUCGCUGAAUACAAUUUUCCAAGAACGUCAAUUUCGUAUGUGACCCCUUUCAAAUAAUCAGCAUCGAUUGCUUUUCUAUCGGUGCGUCGAAUGUACGCUUUGCCAAUGGGUUUAUUGAUGUAAUAUCCGAACUCAGCUCUUCUCAAAUGACCAGCCGCUUCUCGAUUGCGAUAAACUCCUUCCAGCCCCCACAAUGGAAUUUCCUCAUCCAGUGUCAGAUUCUAAAUUUGCUUCAAUUGGAGUGUCAUCAGAUCGUAAAUCAUAUUCCCAUCGAUGAGCACCUAAUAGUAAUGCUCAUCAUUAUUGAUACCUUUUUCACAAUUCAAUGCAUAAAAAGCACGGAAACCAGCAUCCAUGAUAAAUCUGACGAGGCAAACUUCAAUUUUGAGUCGAUUUAUAUGGAAAAUCAAUCAUUUUACAGAUUUAUGUUAUCGAAUCGAAACAGAG